UGGUUCUGGCAUCGAUGAAGAACGCAGCGAAAUGCGAUAAGUAAUGUGAAUUGCAGAAUUCAGUGAAUCAUCGAAUCUUUGAACGCACAUUGCGCCCAUUAGUAUUCUAGUGGGCAUGCCUGUUCGAGCGUCAUUUCAACCCCUAAGCACAGCUUAUUGUUGGGCGUCUACGUCUGUAGUGCCUCAAAGACAUUGGCGGAGCGGCAGCAGUCCUCUGAGCGUAGUAAUUCUUUAUCUCGCUUCUGUUAGGCGCUGCCCCCCCGGCCGUAAAACCCCCAAUUUUUUCUGGUUGACCUCGGAUCAGGUAGGAAUACCCGCUGA
rnacentral:misc_RNA from 1 species